GACGAACGCUGGCGGCGUGCUUAACACAUGCAAGUCGAGCGGUAAGGCCCUUUCGGGGGUACACGAGCGGCGAACGGGUGAGUAACACGUGGGUGACCUGCCCUCAGCUCUGGGAUAAGCCUGGGAAACCGGGUCUAAUACCGGAUAUGACUCCAUGACGCAUGUUGUGGGGUGGAAAGCCUUGUGCGGCUGAGGAUGGGCCCGCGGCCUAUCAGCUUGUUGGUGGGGUGAUGGCCUACCAAGGCGACGACGGGUAGCCGGCCUGAGAGGGCGACCGGCCACACUGGGACUGAGACACGGCCCAGACUCCUACGGGAGGCAGCAGUGGGGAAUAUUGGACAAUGGGCGAAAGCCUGAUCCAGCGAUGCCGCGUGUGUGAAGAAGGCCUGCGGGUUGUAAAGCACUUUCAGUAGGGAAGAAAAGACCGAGUGCCAAUACCACUCGGUCUUGACGUUACCUAAAGAAGAAGCACCGGCUAACUCCGUGCCAGCCGCCGCGGU
rnacentral:rRNA from 1 species